UGGGAUAUCGUCCAACGGUUAGGACACGGGUUUUUGGUGCCUGGAAUGUGGGUUCGAGUCCUACUAUCCCAGCCA
rnacentral:tRNA from 3 species